UACGAAGGGUGCAAGCGUUACUCGGAAUUACUGGGCGUAAAGCGUGCGUAGGUGGUGCGUUAAGUCUGUCGUGAAAGCCCCGGGCUCAACCUGGGAAUGGCGAUGGAUACUGUCGGGCUAGAGUCCGGAAGAGGCGAGUGGAAUUCCUGGUGUAGCGGUGAAAUGCGCAGAUAUCAGGAGGAACACCAAUGGCGAAGGCAGCUCGCUGGGACGGUACUGACGCUGAGACGCGAAAGCGUGGGGAGCAAACAGG
rnacentral:rRNA from 1 species